CAUUCUUUCUUUCUAAGUCAAAAAAAAAAAAGAAAAAAAACUCAUUCUUUCUUUCUUCUUCAAGAAACAAGAAAAGAAUGAAAACACGAUCGUGGAAUUUAUGGUGUUGGGUGUGUCGCACAAGGAUUCAAGAAAUUGCGAUGCUCUAUAUUUGCCAUAAUCUCUUCUGUUUGCUACGCAUCUCUCGGACAGGUAUAUAAGGGCCGCCUCAAGGAAAAUGGGGAUUUAGUCGCUGUUAAAGUACAAAGACCUUUUGUUCUCGAGACUGUUACCACUUACCAUUGAGUUAUUCAUGACCUUGGUUUGGCUCUUCGAAAGUUUCCUCAGGCAAAUUAAAUUCUUAUCUCCAUUGAUGUGGUUGGGUUUGUUGAUGAGUGGGCUGCUCGAUUUUUUGAGGAGUUAGACUAUGUGAAUGAAGGUGAAAAUGGAAACCGUUUUGCCGAAAUGAUGAAGAAAGACCUUCCACAGGUGAGUCUGAUCUUUGGUUAUGAAUGACAUAUAGUUUUUAUAUGUACAGGAAGAACAAUAUGUUAGUCAAGGUCUUUUUUUUUACAUAAAUAAGUUUACAACAUUUCAUUAUCAAUAAUGAUGGUAAUACAUGUGGGGAUAUCAAUCACAAUCAUAUUUUCCAACCACAAAACUAAUGGUUCUCUUGGGUCAAUUAUUUAUAAAAUAUAAAACUAGUGAUAUAGGCCAGAAUUGUGACAUAAACUGAAAAAGGUUCCAAGUUCCAAUUGUGACUUAAACUGAAAAAAGUUCCAAGUUUAGUUUCUUUUGCAUUUCUUUUAAAGGGUAUAAAAACCCUAUGAGAAUGUGAAUCACUGUGUGACGGAAUCUUUUUUCAUUAUCUGAAAAAGGGGUGGAGUAUAUUGCCCUAAUAACCCUAAAUUUGACCGUUGGAAUCGAUGAAUAUACUCUGUGUUAUAAAUUUUGUAACGGAUGGAUCAUAGAUGCCUCAAUGUCCAUAGAGUAAAAUGUUGGAUGAAUUUAAUGACCCUAGUCCCUAAAUGUUAAAGCUAGUUGUUGCCUUAAUUGCUACUCAAGCAAUUGUCUCUAUCGGUGUCCGCUUUUCUAUUAAAAAAAUUAUGAAUUUUUAUUCAUAAUAAUGCAUGAAUGGAUAUAUAUUCUAUUUUUAUGACCCUUAGUCCCUAAAUUCAAUUCUGCAACUGCAACUAGAAGUAAUUUUGCAUUAUGAGCUUAAUGACCCUUGUCCCUAAUGUUGACUGAUGCCUUAAUGUGAAAAAUAGUUGUUACCUCAAUGACUACAGGGUAACAGAUGGAUGAGAUACUAGGGAUAAUCGAUAGAUCAUAGAUGUCUCGUUGACUAUAGAGUAAAAUGUUGAAUGAACUUAAUGACCCUUGUCCCUCAAUGGAAAAUGAAUUAUGAAUUCUUUAUUCAUAAUGGAAAAGUUGGAUGGAGGUUUUCAAAGCAAAGCAAUUUUAAUAUGAAAUUUUAUUCAAACCUUGGAUGGUGUCUAUUGUCUUUUAUGACCCUAAUUGUGCAACUGUCACUAGUGGUAUGGUUUACAUGAGAUGACUAACUCCAAAUUCGAUGGAUAUACUUUGUUCCUUGAUUUUUGUAAGUUAUUGUCUUGCUGGCUCAAAAUGUUGGAUGAUGCCUUAAUGUGAAAGCUAGUUGUUGCCUUAAAUGCAAUUUUAAUAUAAAAUUUCAUUCAUAAUAUAAGGCAUGAAUAUUAUCUGUUGUGCUUUAAUGACCCUAGUCCCUGAAUGCAAUUUUUCAACUACAAUAUGAACUGAUUUUGCAAAUGCAAAAGGCAUUGCGUCCUUGUGUUUGAUUAGUCUACUGAUAAGGGUUUCAAAGGAAUUCUCUAAGGAAGACACGAAUCAAUUGAAGCAAAGUACAAAGAAAUCAACUCUUUGGAGUCUAAACUGUUUCUUAUAAUAUAUAUCUGGUAUAUAUGACAUUAUGGCCAUGAGGUUGUAUCUGUUAGUCUUUUUUACUGGAGAUCUAUUGUGAAAUCUGAUAAAAUUUGGUGGGUGUUGGUAUAAGAAUCAGAUAGCACUAAAUUUGUGUUAAUAAUUAUAAAUGGAUGUCUUUGAUUUAGUAACUGAAAAAGGUAGAACUUUACCCAUUUUUAUCAUUCUUGAUCAUUCAAUAUAAUUCAAUCUUCUGCUUGAUAAAUACAAAACAUUUUAUUGGUCAACAUAGCGGUGUUCAGGUUCAGCUUGCUAAUAAGGUGGUUAAUUCCCAAGGUUCAACGGUGAUUUUGAAACCGAAAUCUCAUGGAACUGUUAGGGUUGAAAUUGAAAGCAUGCUGGUGGGUAAAGGAAAGGUUGAUGGUUCAGGUGUUGGUGUUGAUGUGGUUUCAUGCACGAACUAGAGCAACUUUUUAUCCCAAAUUUGAAAAUGAGGUAUAUGAUUCCUGUCUCAGUUUUUUAUGUUUUGAUUUCAUGAGUGGAGGUUAUAUUGUUGAAUUUUGUCAUGUAUCAAUCUUCCUAGUUUAUAUAUUUUUUCUUCAUAAUAAUUGUUUGAAUCUCAACCUUAUGUGAUAUUAGACAAUCAAACAAAAUGUUUUCAAGAACAUUCAAAAGAAACUGAUAUGCUCUGUGCCGAGACCCUAAAUUUGACCAUUGGAAUCGAUGAAUAUACUAUGUUUUAUAAAUUUUGUAAUGGAUGGAUCAUAGAUGCCUCAAUGACUAUAGAGUAAAAUGUUGGACGAACUUAAUGACCCUAGUCCCUGAAUUUGAAAGCAAGACGUUGUCUUAAUUGCCACUCAAACAAUUGUCUCUAUCUGUGUCCUCUUUUUUGUCAAAAAAUCAAAAAAUAUAUAUGAAUUUUUAUUCAAAAUGCAACAAUGGAUUUCUAUUGUGCUUUGUUGACCCUUAGUCCCUAAAUUCAAUUUUGCAGUGAUUUGAAUUAUGAUCUUAAUGACCUUUUACCUAAUGUUUCAUAAGUUUUGUAAGGAAUGGAUGCCUCCAUUAGACGAUGGCGUCAGAGUAAAAUGCAUUAUGACCCGAACCGUGAAUCUGUCACCGCGAUGAAUUUUUUUUCAUUAUCAUGCAUUGUGUGGUAAACAUGAGCCCACUAACUCAAAAUUCAACAAUAAGAUGAAUAUACUUUGUUCCGUGAUUUUUGUAAGGGAUUUUCUUGAUGGUCCAAAAAUGCAGGAUGAUGCAAAAUCUAAGAUAAUUAUUGUUUGGACCACACUAAAUCAAUUUCUUUUCUACACUAUCUUCCUGAGAAUGAAACUUAGUGACUUAUUAUGAUCUUAAUCACCCUAGUUCCGAAUGUUUCAUAAGUUUUUUAAGGGAUAGAUACUUCAACGACCUUAGAGUAGAAUGCAUUACGAACUCUUUAUUCAUAUAAAGGAAAAGUUGGAUGGUGCCUUUAAAGAAAUUUGAAUAUGAACUUUUAUUCAAAAUGUGUAUGGUCUCUGUUGUCUUAUUAUAACCCUAAUUGUGAAAAUGUCACUAAGGUAAUUUUUCUUUUUCUUUUCAUUAUCUAUAAAGGGUGGUAUGGUAUACAUGAACCCACUAACUCCAAAUUUGAUAAUAAGAUGGUUUUACUUUUUCCCUGAUUUUUGUAAGGGGUUGUCUUCUUAACCCAAAAAUGUUGGAUGGAGCCUUAAUGUGAAAGCUAGUUGUUGCCUUAAAUGCAAUUGUGCUUUGAUGAAAAAUAUAAGGCACAAAUGUUUGCUAUUGUGUGUGCUUCGAUGACCCUAGUCCCUGAAUUCAAUUCUUCAAAUGCAAUUAGAAGUGAUUUUGCAUUAUGAACUUAAUAUCCCUAAUGUUUCAUAAGUUUUGUAAGGGAAUGUGAAUAUUGGAAUCGAUGAAUAUACUUUAUCUUAUAAAUUUUGUAACGGAUGGAUCAUAGAUGCCUCAAUGACCAUAGAGUAAUAUGUUAGAUGAACUUAUUGACCCUAGUCCCUGAAUAUGAACGCUAGUUGUUGCUUUAAUUGCUACUCAAGCAAUUUUGACUAUCGGUGUCCGCUUUUCUAUUAAAAAAAAUUAUGAAUUUUUAUUCAUAAUAAUGCAUGAAUGGAUAUUUAUUCUGCUUUGAUGACCCUUAGUCCUUAAAUUCAAUUUUGCAACGGCAACUAGAAGUAAUUUUGCAUUAUGAACUUAAUGACCCUUGUCCCUAAUGUUGACUUAUGCCUUAAUGUGAAAGAUAGUUGUUACCUCAAUGACUACAGAGUAACGAAUGGAUGAGAUACUACGGAGUCGAUGAAUAUACCGUGUUUUAUAAAUUUUAUGAUGAAUAGAUCAUAGAUGUCUCGAUGACUAUAGAGUAAACUGUUGGAUGAACUUAAUGACCCUUGUCCCUCAAUGGAAAAUGAAUUAUGAAUUCUUUAUUCUUAAUGGAAAAGUUGGAUGCAGGCUUUCAAAGCAAAGCAAUUUUAAUAUGAAAUUUUAUUUAAAACGUGGAUGGUGUCUAUUGUCUUUUUAUGACCCUAAUUGUGAAACUGUCACUAGUGGUAUGGUAUACAUGAGAUGACUAACUCCAAAUUCGAUGGAUUUUACUUUGUUCAUUGAUUUUUUUAAGGGAUUGUCUUGGUGGCUCAAAAUGCUGGGUAAUGCCUUAAUGUGAAAGCUAGUUGUUGCCUUAAAUGCAAUUUUAAUAUAAAAUUUCCUUCAUAAUAUAAGGCAUGGAUAUUAUCUAUUGUGCUUUAAUGACCCUAGUCCCUAAAUGCAAUUUUGCAACUACAAUAUGAACUGAUUUUGCAAAAGCAAAUGGAAUUGUGUCCAUGUGUUUGAUUAGUAACUGAAAAAGGUAGAACCUUACCCAUUUUUAUCAUUCUUGAUCAUUCAAUAUAAUUCAAUCUUCUGCUUGAUAAAUACAAAACCUUUAAUUGGUGAACAUAGCGGCAUUCAGGUUCAGCUUGCAAAUAAGGUGGUUAAUUCCCAAGGUUCAACGGUUGUUUUGAAACCGAAAUGUGAUGGAACUGUUAGUGUUGAAACUUGAAAGCAUGCUGGUGGUUAAAGGAAAAGUUGAUGGUUCAAGUGUGGAUGCUGAUGUGACUUCGUGCACGAACGGGAGCAACUUUCUAUCCCAAAUUUGAAAAUGAGGUAUAUGAUUCCUGUCUCAGUUUAUAAUGUUUUGAUUUCAUGAGUGGAGGUUAUAUUUGUUGAAUUUUGUCAUAUGUAUCAAUCUUCCUAGUUUAUAUAUUUUUUCUUCAUAAUCAUUGUUUGAUGAAUCUCAGCCUUAUGGGAUAUUAGACAAUAAAAAAAAAUGUUUUCAAGAACAUUCAAAAGAAAUUGAUAUGCUCUGUGCCGAGACCCUAAAUUUGACCAUUGGAAUCGAUGAAUAUACUAUGUUUUAUAAAUUUUGUAACGGAUGGAUCAUAGAUGCCUCAAUGACUAUAGAGUAAAAUGUUGGAUGAACUUAAUGACUCUAGUCCCUGAAUGUGAAAGCAAGUUGUUGCCUUAAUUUCCACUCAAGCAAUUGUCUCUAUCUGUGUCCUCUUUUUUGUCAAAAAAUCAAAAAAUAUAUAUGAAUUUUUAUUCAAAAUGCAUGAAUGGAUAUCUAUUGUGUUUUGUUGACUCUUUGUCCCUAAAUUCAAUUUUUGCAGUGAUUUGAAUUAUGAUCUUAAUGACCCUAUUACCUAAUGUUUCAUAAGUUUUGUAAGGAAUGGAUGCCUCAAUGAGAUGAUGGCGUCAGAGUAAAAUGCAUUAUUACCCGAAUCGUGAAUCUGUCACUUAGAUGAUUUUUUUUCUCUUUAUCUAUAUGCAUUGUGUGGUAAACAUGAGCAGUAACUCGAAAUUCAACAAUAAGAUGAAUAUACUUUGUUCCUUGAUUUUUGUAAGGGAUUUUCUUGAUCGUCCAAAAAUGCAAGAUGAUGCCUUAAUGUGAAAGCUAGUAGAUGAGAAGGAAUUCUCAGGUACUAUCAAGACCAAUAUUCGUCCUUUCCAUUGCAACAGUCUUUACUGAUGAACAUGAAUGUAGUGAUGGAACCUCAGAUCAUAUUACUGACUCUCAUGAUUCAGAAAUAUCUACAGCAGAACCAUCUCCUGUGCAGGAUAAUAUGAAUAUUA